rnacentral:lncRNA from 1 species
UCUCUUCCAUUGUCAGUUUUCAAAAUUUUCACCUUAGUAUCAAAUUGAGUACAAACCAUCUUAUGAAAGGAUUGAAAACAAGAAAAGACAUCACUUUUAGCUUUAAUCAAAUAGACCCAAGUCAUUCGAGUGCAACAAUCAAUAAAGGUGACAAACCAUCGAUUACCAGAUAAGGAGACCGUUUGAGUAGGCCCCCAAACAUCAGAAUGAAUAGUUGCAAAAGGAAUUUGACUUUUAUUAUGACUCAAAGGAUAGGAUGUUCUAGUGUGUUUAGCAUACUCACAAGCAUCACAAAAUAAAGAGUCAAACUGGGUUUUAGCAAACAAAUCAGGAUAUAGUUUUUCUAAGACAAAAAAUGAUGGAUGCCCUAACCGCCGGUGCCACUGUAUUAUUUCCCGAUUGACAUCCUUAUUUUCUCCAAAACAGGCUUGAGAUAUCGAAGAAGUCGGAUCACCCUCUAACAUGUAUAAGCCAUCAUGCAGCCUACCAUUGCCAAUCAUCUUCCCUGUGCGAAGAUCCUGAAUAACACAAUGAUCAGGAAAGAAUUCAAUUUUACAGUUAAGAGCAUUGGUGAUAGCACUGACAGAUAAAAGGUUGACAGGAAAGUGGGGAACAUGAAGGACAGAUGAUAAUUUAAUGUUGGAUGUGCAAAUAACAGAACCUGUUCCGGAUAUGGGAGUAAAAGAGCCAUCAGCAAUUCUGACACUAUCUUUGGUUAGAGAAGGAGAAUAAUUGAGAAAGCCUUUAUAAGAGCCUGUCAUAUGUCUAUUCGCACCAGAAUCGAUAAUCCAUGGAACAUUAUUAAAAGAGGAAGCAUUACCUGACUUUACAAAGUUAGAUGUGGCACCAGAGGAUGAAGAGGUGUCAAUAUGAGACAAGAGGCGCUUGAGACUCUGAAGUUCAUUAGGGGAAAGAAACUCAGUCGUUGUUGUAUCCUUAAAGGGCUCCUCCACAGUUUCUGCUAACUUAGCUUGAUUUCUAGAGGUACCUCGUUUUCCUCCACGACCUCUAGUGUGACGACCAUGUAACUUCCAACAAGUCUCUUUGGUAUGCAUCGGUUUCCCACAAUAGUCAUAGUGUAAGUGAUCUUUCUCAGAAGUAGGAGGUUGUGGUGUGCUCAAACUAGUAGUCAACCCAGCCUUUUCAACUGGUGCAGUAUGGAGCAUAGCAUGUUGACGACUUUCCUCUUGUUGAACAUGGGCAUGGGCCUCUUCUAGAGAAGGAAAAGGAUUUCUUCCCAACACUUGGACCCGAAUUGGAUCAUAUUCGUUAUUCAACCCUGCAAGAAAAUCAUAGACCCGCUCCUUUUCAAUCAUUCUUCGAAAUUUGACUGCAUCUCCGGUGCAGUCUGCCUGGAAGUCUUGAAAGUAAUCAAGCUCCUGCCAUAAGCCACAUAACUCAGAAUAAAAUUGAGAGAUAGUCAUUUCUCCUUGCUUAGUACCAUGGAUCUUAUUCCGAAUAUCAUAAAUUUGAGCAUCAUUCCCAAUCUUGGAAUAAGUUAAGGACAAAGCUUUCCAUAUUUUUGCAGCAGUAUCAAUUAACAAAUAGGACUUAGAGAUAUGAGGUUGCAUAGAGUUCAGUAACCAUGUCAUAACAAGACAAUUAUCCGAGUCCCAUUGAGGGAAACCUGGAUCACUCUCAUCAGGUUGCUUUUUAUUACCAGUGACAUAACUUUGCAGUCCUCUAGCCUUGAUAAACAACAAACAAGACCUUGACCAAGCAAGAUAAUUGGUUCCAUCAAGUUUUAUGGGACUAAUUUGCAAGGAAGGAUUGUCAGAGUUAGGAAUCGAGACCCUUUUACCUUCUGCCAUAGUAAAGAUUUAUGAACAGUGAAGGAUAGGAGGUACCCAAGGUUGUACACACAAGAAAGCCCAAUUGAUUCACCAAAAGACCGGGUAACAGCACGGGAGGGCCGAAAAGAUGGUCGGAAUCGACGCCGGAGUGAUCAGAGCGGCGAAACAGUGACAGACGAUGGG